UAUUAUCACAAAGGACUUUCUACUGUGAUGAAAGCAAGGCCAUCCAGAUGCCCCCGAGCCUCGCCUGGCACUCAGUGGGAGCCCUCUCAGGAGUGGCCUGGUAUCCGUGUGCUUGCUUGACCGACCUCAUGAGAGCAGACCGUGCUCACCAGUAUUUUUCACAGGCUGAGGUGGAGCUGCCGCUUCCCUUCGGUAUCGCACUUAUAAGAAGUCCAAGAGGUGCAGAAUGAGUCCACCGUGGGGACUGCCUAGAUCCCCCAGACGGAGUCGUUGGCACCGGGUACACAGUAUCUGCAACAGGAGAAAAAUGGAAGAAACAUACUUUUAAUGGAAUGGGAUCAACCGAACAGAUAAGGAGACCGGGUUUCUGAAAGCGGAUGGAACUGGCAGAAGGUCAGAGCCUUCAAGAGGCACAACCGAUAGCAACAGUGCGAGAAAGUGAGUGGUGCAGAAUACUGCUGACGGCGUGGUUCUCGUCUUCAUACAGUUUCCAACCUUGAACCUGAGAAUGUCAGAGGCUGGCGUCUCUGGACACCCAUCUGAGCAGUUAUCUGCCGGUGCCCGGCUCCUGAGCGAACGCGUGGGUGUCCCGGGCGUGUGUGGUAACAGCAGUGGUGACACGGAGCGCCCAGAGGUCGCCUCGCUCUCUCCUGGGGAUCCCUGGUCCGUGCUGCCUCUGAUGAACUGUGAACUUGGGGCGUCCUGGCAAGCGCAGGCGUUUGGGAGUCCACGGCAAACCUGGACGUCGCAUAAGCCCAGCUUUUAAAGUGAAAGCAGGGCCUUGGGGAAGGACCGACUCGCCUACUGCGCUGGAAAACAAAGUAAGUGCUGUUUGUUUCUCCCUUAGUCACUCCUCUGCGUGUUUUCUCUUGCUCGCGUUGUUAGACAGCCAGUAUCUGACAGAUGCCGAGUGUAACCCUUCACUGGGAAGGAGGGUAUGAAGUCUGUUCAGUCGUUCAUUGCUGCCUUGAUCUUUUCUGUCCUCCUGUAUCUAGCCUGCUGGCUUGCUUGUUAGAGAUAGCCAGAGACGGAAAGGUCUUAUCCAUGAGAAAACAAGUUGUUGUUGGGUUUUAAUGGUUCAAGAACUUUGCCAUCAAUUAAAUGACAGUGACACAGACGAGGCUUUUUACGUGCCAGGAGCACAUCGAGCUCAACAGCCCCAGUUCACUGCCCUUGUUCUCGCUGGGAAGCAGGAAGAGGUGUGUGUACAAGACAAAUACAGUGUCCCCGUGAGGGGACUGCAGAAAUUAGGUGGGAAUGGCUUCUGGACAAGAGGCUGCAAUUUAAAAACCAGAUUGGUAGUUACAAAAUAGUCACUGGGUGUAAAGUACAGCACGGAAUAUAAUCAAUAACAUUGUAACAACUAUGUAUGGUGUCAGGCUACUAAUACACAGUAACGCUCAACGUAAACGUAAUUGAAAAAUAACAACAA